GACGAACGCUGGCGGCGUGCUUAACACAUGCAAGUCGAACGGAAAGGCCCUGCUUUUGUGGGGUGCUCGAGUGGCGAACGGGUGAGUAACACGUGAGUAACCUGCCCUUGACUUUGGGAUAACUUCAGGAAACUGGGGCUAAUACCGGAUAGGAGCUCCUGCUGCAUGGGGGGGGUGGGAAAUUUCGGCGGUUGGGGAUGGAAUCGAGGGUUAUCAGGCUGUUGGUGGGGGUGUGGGUUACCAAGGCUUUGACGGGUAGCCGGCCUGAGAGGGUGACCGGGCACAAUGGGACUGAGAUACGGCCCAGACUCCUACGGUAGGCAGCAGUGGGGAAUAUUGCACAAUGGGCGGAAGCCUGAGGCAGCAACGCCGCGUGCGGGAUGACGGCCUUCGGGUUGUAAACCGCUUUCGCCUGUGACGAAGCGUGAGUGACGGUAAUGGGUAAAGAAGCACCGGCUAACUACGUG
rnacentral:rRNA from 1 species